rnacentral:rRNA from 1 species
CAGCCGCCGCGGUAAUACAGAGGGUGCGAGCGUUAAUCGGAAUUACUGGGCGUAAAGCGCACGCAGGCGGUCUGUCAAGUCAGAUGUGAAAUCCCCGGGCUUAACCUGGGAACUGCAUUUGAAACUGGCAGGCUAGAGUCUUGUAGAGGGGGGUAGAAUUCCAGGUGUAGCGGUGAAAUGCGUAGAGAUCUGGAGGAAUACCGGUGGCGAAGGCGGCCCCCUGGACAAAGACUGACGCUCAGGUGCGAAAGCGUGGGGAGCAAACAGGAUUAGAUACCCCGGUAGUCCCUGUCUCUUAUAC